GAUGAAGAACGUAGCGAAAUGCGAUAAGUAAUGUGAAUUGCAGAAUUCAGUGAAUCAUCGAAUCUUUGAACGCACAUUGCGCCCGCUGGUAUUCCGGGGGGCAUGCCUGUUCGAGCGUCAUUUCACCACUCAAGCCUCGCUUGGUAUUGGGCAUCGCGGUCCGCCGCGCGCCUCAAAUCGACCGGCUGGGUCUUCUGUCCCCUAAGCGUUGUGGAAACUAUUCGCUAAAGGGUGUUCGGGAGGCUACGCCGUAAAACAACCCCAUUUCUAAGGUUGACCUCGGAUCAGGUAGGGAUACCCGCUGAACUUAAGCAUAUCAAUAAGCGGAGGA
rnacentral:misc_RNA from 1 species